CAUUUACCUAGGCACAGCUCACAGGCAUGAUAAUGACUCUCAUAUGUGGACCCCACAAGUAGGAGUAAUUUUGACUCUUGUAACUUGCUUUAGAAACAUAAGUGAUGUCUUAGAUCUCUUUCUGGCGAAAAGGUCACAGAAGAUUAUAACAGCCUCAGAUAAUUUGCAGCCCUUGGCUUGUACAGAGAGUGUCAGAACAGAACCCAGCAGAAAGGAGAAAUUGUGAGUCUCAUAUGUACACCCAGCUGACUGUAAGGACUGUCACCAUCUUACAUACAUGAAGCCAACUGUCACACAUGAAAAGAGGACAUGUGUGGUAUUGUAAAUCUCAUCUCGAAUAUUCUCUCAGUGUGACUGUGAUAUAAAUCUUUGCCAAGCAUCUGUGUGAUUUGACUCUCCAAACUGGUUCCAGCCCAUAUAUACGGGAUUGUGAUCUCUACCUGGGCCAACCUCUAGAUAAUGUGACUCUCCUGCCUGGGCCCUUCUCUCAGUAAGGGUUGUGACAUAUCACUGGAUCUAACACCCAAGUGAUGUUACAUUCUUGCCUGGACCAUGCACAGAGACAUCAUUGUGACAUAUCACUGUGUCCACCACUUAGGUGAUGUAACUCUCCUCUCUGGAAUGGACCCUGAAUACGGAGUGGUAGUGACAUCUUCCUAGGCCAGACACACAGGUGUUGGUACUCUUUUUCCAGGGCUAUGUUUCAAGGAGGGCAUUGUGACAUAUCUCUGGACCUAUCACCGAGGUGAUAUGAUUCAACGCUUGGGCCUCACCGACGUAGAACAUUGUGACAUAAAAGUUAAACCUGCACCAAAGGUGUUGUAACUCUUUCACCUUGGUCCUGUCCUAAGGGAGCCCUGCAACAUAUCUCAGGACCCAGCACUCAGUCCAUAGGCAUGAUGGUCAAACUUAUACUGGGAUGCAGCCAAUAG
rnacentral:lncRNA from 10 species